AUGUGUGGGGGGUGUCUCCUCCUGCCAAUCCCCACCCCCAGCAGCAUCAGGUCUGUGCUGUUCGGGGUUUUGUUAAGCCGUUUAGUAUUAAUUGAUUUUUUUUUCCAUUUUUUCUUUCUUUCCCUGGGCGGGUCAAUAGCUGGAUGCUCAAGAGCAGAGGAUCUAUCAACUGCAGACCAAGCAGAGGGAGAGGCAGGCAGACCUGGAGCAGAAAUGCAGCCAGAGCAUCAGCUCAGCCAGGACCUGGGGGCCAGCCACCAGCUACGGAAGGGAGCUUGGAGCAGAUGUUUAGCAGCUGUCCCCAGUCUCCAAGGUAUGACACAGCCAGGUGGUCCUAACCUUGCUGAAGAUGUGGGGCAUUUGCACCAUUUUUCUCACAAGAUCUCACUGCAGUCUCAGCUGCUGUAGCUCUGUUCCUCCUCAGGAAUUAGGCUUGGGGCUGUGCUAGAAUAAAAUCAGAUGAAGAUGGAGAGAUAGAUCUGUG
rnacentral:lncRNA from 1 species